rnacentral:rRNA from 1 species
CCUACGGGUGGCUGCAGUGGGGAAUAUUGCACAAUGGGGGAAACCCUGAUGCAGCGACGCCGCGUGAGUGAAGAAGUACUUCGUUAUGUAAAGCUCUAUCAGCCGGGAAGAAAAUGACGGUACCUGAGGAAGAAGCCCAGGCUAACUACGUGCCAGCAGCCGCGGCAAUACGGAGGGGGCCAGCGUUAUCCGGAUUUACUGGGUGUAAAGGGAGCGUAGACGGCAGUGCAAGUCUGGAGGGAGAGGCGGGGGCUCAACCCCCGGACUGCUCUGGAAACUGUACGGCUUGAGUGCAGGAGAGGUAAGUGGAAUGCGUGGUGUAGCGGUGAAAUGCGUAGAUAUUAGGAGGAACUCCAGUUGCGAAGGCGGCUUACUGGACUGUAACUGACGUUGAGGCUCGAAAGCGUGGGGAGCGAACAGGAUUAGAUACCCGAGUAGUC